GACCAUCUCCUAAGGCUAAAUACUCUCUAGUGACCGAUAGUGAACCAGUACCGUGAGGGAAAGGUGAAAAGCACCCCGGAAGGGGAGUGAAAUAGAACCUGAAACCGUGUGCUUACAAGUAGUCAGAGCCCGUUAAUGGGUGAUGGCGUGCCUUUUGUAGAAUGAACCGGCGAGUUACGAUUUGAUGCAAGGUUAAGCAGUAAAUGUGGAGCCGUAGCGAAAGCGAGUCUGAAUAGGGCGUUUAGUAUUUGGUCGUAGACCCGAAACCAGGUGAUCUACCCUUGGUCAGGUUGAAGUUCAGGUAACACUGAAUGGAGGACCGAACCGACUUACGUUGAAAAGUGAGCGGAUGAACUGAGGGUAGCGGAGAAAUUCCAAUCGAACCUGGAGAUAGCUGGUUCUCUCCGAAAUAG
rnacentral:rRNA from 1 species